rnacentral:lncRNA from 1 species
GCUCAUAUAGUCUCUGAGAACUAGCCGACAAACAAGACGGACAGACGGACAGACAGACAUGGCUCUAUCGACUCGGCUAUUGAUGCUGAUCAGGAAUAUAUAUACUUUAUGGGGUCGGAAACGCUUCCUUCUGUGCGCUACAUACAACCGUUAUUCGCACAAAUACAAUAUACCCUAUUUACACACAUAUGCGUUUUAUAUUUAUGUAUAUUCUUAUUCACUGGCAUACUCAUAUUAAAACAAAAUAUAUACAAAAAUAUUUAUAGUAUUUUCAUAUGAGUAGUAGUAGAUAAGUAAAUAUUU